AUGUACCCCGUCAAACCUGACGACGUCAACCCAAGAUGCCACCUUUCACCUCGUCGUCGACUCCGUCUCCCUGCUCCUCAGCCUGGCCGGGCUGGCCGGCAACAGCCUGGUCCUCUGGUUCCUCGGCCUGCGCUUCAAGCAGAACCCGUUCACCGUGUACAUCCUGCACCUGGCCGGGGCCGACUUCUGCUUCCUCCUCGGCCGGGCCGUCUGGUUUGGCACGAACAUCGUGUACCGCGGCCUCAAGCUGAAUGCGUUCCGGAAGGGCGUGUUCUACCUGUGCCACGCGACGCUGGUCUUCAACAUAUUCAUGUUCAACACGAGUCUGGGCCUGUUGACGGCCAUCAGCGUCGAGCGGGGCCUCUCCGUCCUCUUCCCGCUCUGGUACAGGAGACACCGCUGGAAGAACCGACCCCCGACCCUCUGCGCUGUCCUGUGGGUUCUCUCGGCUUUGACGGCCACCCUGGAGUUCUAUUUCUGCGUCUACCAGGCGGAGGCCCAAGAGGCCCACUGGUUGGGCAAUGCCAGCGUGCGCCUGGUCAGCUGCGUGCUCAGCUUCCUGAUCUCCACCCCCCUCAUGGUCCUGUCCGGCGUGGUUCUCUUCGCCAAGCUCCGCCGCCGGGGGAGGGACCUGCCCCCGGCCAAGUCCUGCAUCGUUGUCAUCGCCGCCGUCCUCACGUUCCUCGCAUUCGGGCUCCCGCAGAGGGUGUGGUUCGUGGUCAAGUUCGAGUUCAAGGUCUACGUCUCCCGCCCGGUCUCCUCUGUGGUCCAGCUGCUCUCUUGCAUGAACAGCAGCGCCAACCCCAUCAUUUACUUUUUCGUAGGGAACUUCAGGAAGGGCCGGGGCCGACGUUCCGUCAGGCUGGCCUUCCUGAAAGCUUUCAAGGAAGAUCACCACCUCCAGGAAGAGGGAGAAGUCACGUCUCGGGCCCCGUGAUGAUGCGAGCUCGACCAGUAGGGCUGGAGUAUUCCCGGGGACGCCAUGGCAACGAGGUGAGGGUUUCCAUGGGGAUCUCUGCUUCGUGGACGUCGAGCCUCUGUCAAAGUCCUGAACAAUGA
rnacentral:lncRNA from 1 species